GACGAACGCUGGCGGCGUGCCUAAUACAUGCAAGUCGAGCGGACGAAUCGAAAGCUUGCUUUUGAUUCGUUAGCGGCGGACGGGUGAGUAACACGUGGGCAACCUGCCCUGUAGACGGGGAUAACACCGAGAAAUCGGUGCUAAUACCGGAUAACACGAAAUGUCGCAUGACGUUUCGUUGAAAGACGGCGCAAGCUGCCGCUACAGGAUGGGCCCGCGGCGCAUUAGCUAGUUGGUGAGGUAACGGCUCACCAAGGCGACGAUACGUAGCCGACCUGAGAGGGUGAUCGGCCACACUGGGACUGAGACACGGCCCAGACUCCUACGGGAGGCAGCAGUAGGGAAUCUUCCGCAAUGGACGGAAGUCUGACGGAGCAACGCCGCGUGAGCGAAGAAGGCCUUCGGGUCGUAAAGCUCUGUUGUUAGGGAAGAACAAGUAACGCAGUAACUGGCGUUACCGUGACGGUACCUAACGAGAAAGCCACGGCUAACUACGUG
rnacentral:rRNA from 1 species